rnacentral:rRNA from 1 species
UACGUAGGGUGCGAGCGUUAAUCGGAAUUACUGGGCGUAAAGGGUGCGCAGGCGGUUAUAUAAGACAGAUGUGAAAUCCCCGGGCUCAACCUGGGAACUGCGUUUGUGACUGUAUGACUAGAGUACGGUAGAGAGGGGUGGAAUUCCUGGUGUAGCAGUGAAAUGCGUAGAUAUGCGGAGGAACACCAAUGGCGAAGGCAGUCCCCUGGGCCUGUACUGACGCUCAUGCACGAAAGCGUGGGGAGCAAACAGG